GCUGGAUAGCUCAGUUGGUUAGAGUGUUGUCCUGAUAACGCCAUGGUUGCAGGUUCAAUCCAGCUACGUAUUCCUGCAUUGCAGGGCA